rnacentral:rRNA from 1 species
CCUACGGGUGGCAGCAGUGAGGAAUAUUGGUCAAUGGACGAGAGUCUGAACCAGCCAAGUAGCGUGAAGGAUGACUGCCCUAUGGGUUGUAAACUUCUUUUAUAUGGGAAUAAAGUGUUCCACGUGUGGGAUUUUGUAUGUACCCUAUGAAUAAGGAUCGGCUAACUCCGUGCCAGCAGCCGCGGUAAUACGGAGGAUCCGAGCGUUAUCCGGAUUUAUUGGGUUUAAAGGGAGCGUAGGUGGAUUGUUAAGUCAGUUGUGAAAGUUUGCGGCUCAACCGUAAAAUUGCAGUUGAAACUGGCAGUCUUGAGUACAGUAGAGGUGGGCGGAAUUCGUGGUGUAGCGGUGAAAUGCUUAGAUAUCACGAAGAACUCCGAUUGCGAAGGCAGUUCACUGGACUGCAACUGACACUGAGGCUCGAAAGUGUGGGUAUCAAACAGGAUUAGAUACCCUAGUAGUC